GGUUGAAUAGUGUAAUGGUUAUCACAUCAGAUUCUGAUUCUGAUAAUCUGGGUUCGAUUCCCAGUUCGACCU
rnacentral:tRNA from 1 species